UCCUCACACCCCUAUUUAUACCCCUAGCCCUCUUUGUUGAGAAAGUCAUAUAAACUUAGGUUUCUUCUUCUUCUUCUUCUUCAACAAUAUUAGGGUUUUGUUAUAUUGAUAGCGUAGACCACUAUCAGUUGAAGCUGCCAGCAUGAUCUAAACUUACCUACAAAUUUAUAUUGAGGCAAGAUUAGAUCAUGUGGUUGCUUCACCCGUUAGUUCGUACUACGAAAAAUAAUCUUAACCCUAUUUUUUUUCAUGAAUAUGCAGUGGGGAAAGAAAGAAACUAAAUUUAAGGGGUCUAGAGAAGGAUUAGAGCUAGCACAUCUAAAGGGUGUCAUGUAGACAACCUAUGAAAAUGAGGAUUUGGAGAAAGAGCUAACACACCUAUGCCAUUGCAAGUAUUAGUGGGUAAUAGUUGUUUUCACGAUUCGAAUUUAUGACCUGACAAAUAUUAGCUGGUAAUAGUUAUUUUCACGAUUUGAAUUCGUGAUCUAUUCCGAGAGACAACCUCCAAAGUUCCCGUUCAUGGUUUUUCUCAACUAUGAAAUGAAAUCAUUUUAUU